rnacentral:lncRNA from 1 species
CGAGCUUCCAUAAUACCAUCCGGACUUCUCCAAUAAUGAGAUCCUCCAUUCAUCUACCGGACUGCUCCAAACGCUCUCUGAGCUUCACUAUCAGUCGAUUUUCUACAGUGAUCGACUAUUCUCCGAAUCUCUUCCGGACUUCUUCCAGCCACGAUCGACUCUACUCCGAACUUCUAUUGCAAGCGGACUUCAUCCAAGCUCCUAUAAGAGCCAGACUCCAUCCGAACUUCUACAACGGAUGGGCUCCACCAGUCGGAUCUCUACUCCAAACUUUUUUCGGACUUCGUCAAUGAUCGAGCUUCUCCAGCAGCGAGACUUCUACAAUAAGAAGUCUCCAUCCGAACUUUCAUGGCAACCGAUUUUCGUCCGAGCUUCUAUAGUAAGCGGCC